rnacentral:rRNA from 1 species
UUAAGCGACUAAGCGUACACGGUGGAUGCCCUGGCAGUCAGAGGCGAUGAAGGACGUGCUAAUCUGCGAUAAGCGUCGGUAAGGUGAUAUGAACCGUUAUAACCGGCGAUUUCCGAAUGGGGAAACCCAGUGUGAUUCGUCACACUAUCAUUAACUGAAUCCAUAGGUUAAUGAGGCGAACCGGGGGAACUGAAACAUCUAAGUACCCCGAGGAAAAGAAAUCAACCGAGAUUCCCCCAGUAGCGGCGAGCGAACGGGGAGGAGCCCAGAGCCUGAAUCAGUGUGUGUGUUAGUUGGAAAGCGUCUGGUAAAGGCGCGCGAUACAGGGUGACAGCCCCGUACACAAAAAUGCACAUGCUGUGAGCUCGAUGAGUAGGGCGGGACACGUGGUAUCCUGUCUGAAUAUGGGGGGACCAUCCUCCAAGGCUAAAUACUCCUGACUGACCGAUAGUGAACCAGUACCGUGAGGGAAAGGCGAAAAGAACCCCGGCGAGGGGAGUGAAAAAGAACCUGAAACCGUGUACGUACAAGCAGUGGGAGCACAGAGCAAUCUUGUGUGACUGCGUACCUUUUGUAUAAUGGGUCAGCGACUUAUAUUCUGUAGCAAGGUUAACCGAAUAGGGGAGCCGAAGGGAAACCGAGUCUUAACCGGGCGUUAAGUUGCAGGGUAUAGACCCGAAACCCGGUGAUCUAGCCAUGGGCAGGUUGAAGGUUGGGUAACACUAACUGGAGGACCGAACCGACUAAUGUUGAAAAAUUAGCGGAUGACUUGUGGCUGGGGGUGAAAGGCCAAUCAAACCGGGAGAUAGCUGGUUCUCCCCGAAAGCUAUUUAGGUAGCGCCUCGUGAAUUCAUCUCCGGGGGUAGAGCACUGUUUCGGCAAGGGGGUCAUCCCGACUUACCAACCCGAUGCAAACUGCGAAUACCGGAGAAUGUUAUCACGGGAGACACACGGCGGGUGCUAACGUCCGUCGUGAAGAGGGAAACAACCCAGACCGCCAGCUAAGGUCCCAAAGUCAUGGUUAAGUGGGAAACGAUGUGGGAAGGCCCAGACAGCCAGGAUGUUGGCUUAGAAGCAGCCAUCAUUUAAAGAAAGCGUAAUAGCUCACUGGUCGAGUCGGCCUGCGCGGAAGAUGUAACGGGGCCAAACCAUGCACCGAAGCUGCGGCAGCGACACUGUGUGUUGUUGGGUAGGGGAGCGUUCUGUAAGCCUGUGAAGGUGUGCUGUGAGGCAUGCUGGAGGUAUCAGAAGUGCGAAUGCUGACAUAAGUAACGAUAAAGCGGGUGAAAAGCCCGCUCGCCGGAAGACCAAGGGUUCCUGUCCAACGUUAAUCGGGGCAGGGUGAGUCGACCCCUAAGGCGAGGCCGAAAGGCGUAGUCGAUGGGAAACAGGUUAAUAUUCCUGUACUUGGUGUUACUGCGAAGGGGGGACGGAGAAGGCUAUGUUGGCCGGGCGACGGUUGUCCCGGUUUAAGCGUGUAGGCUGGUUUUCCAGGCAAAUCCGGAAAAUCAAGGCUGAGGCGUGAUGACGAGGCACUACGGUGCUGAAGCAACAAAUGCCCUGCUUCCAGGAAAAGCCUCUAAGCAUCAGGUAACAUCAAAUCGUACCCCAAACCGACACAGGUGGUCAGGUAGAGAAUACCAAGGCGCUUGAGAGAACUCGGGUGAAGGAACUAGGCAAAAUGGUGCCGUAACUUCGGGAGAAGGCACGCUGAUAUGUAGGUGAAGUCCCUCGCGGAUGGAGCUGAAAUCAGUCGAAGAUACCAGCUGGCUGCAACUGUUUAUUAAAAACACAGCACUGUGCAAACACGAAAGUGGACGUAUACGGUGUGACGCCUGCCCGGUGCCGGAAGGUUAAUUGAUGGGGUCAGCGCAAGCGAAGCUCUUGAUCGAAGCCCCGGUAAACGGCGGCCGUAACUAUAACGGUCCUAAGGUAGCGAAAUUCCUUGUCGGGUAAGUUCCGACCUGCACGAAUGGCGUAAUGAUGGCCAGGCUGUCUCCACCCGAGACUCAGUGAAAUUGAACUCGCUGUGAAGAUGCAGUGUACCCGCGGCAAGACGGAAAGACCCCGUGAACCUUUACUAUAGCUUGACACUGAACAUUGAGCCUUGAUGUGUAGGAUAGGUGGGAGGCUUUGAAGUGUGGACGCCAGUCUGCAUGGAGCCGACCUUGAAAUACCACCCUUUAAUGUUUGAUGUUCUAACGUGGACCCGUGAUCCGGGUUGCGGACAGUGUCUGGUGGGUAGUUUGACUGGGGCGGUCUCCUCCUAAAGAGUAACGGAGGAGCACGAAGGUUGGCUAAUCCUGGUCGGACAUCAGGAGGUUAGUGCAAUGGCAUAAGCCAGCUUGACUGCGAGCGUGACGGCGCGAGCAGGUGCGAAAGCAGGUCAUAGUGAUCCGGUGGUUCUGAAUGGAAGGGCCAUCGCUCAACGGAUAAAAGGUACUCCGGGGAUAACAGGCUGAUACCGCCCAAGAGUUCAUAUCGACGGCGGUGUUUGGCACCUCGAUGUCGGCUCAUCACAUCCUGGGGCUGAAGUAGGUCCCAAGGGUAUGGCUGUUCGCCAUUUAAAGUGGUACGCGAGCUGGGUUUAGAACGUCGUGAGACAGUUCGGUCCCUAUCUGCCGUGGGCGCUGGAGAACUGAGGGGGGCUGCUCCUAGUACGAGAGGACCGGAGUGGACGCAUCACUGGUGUUCGGGUUGUCAUGCCAAUGGCACUGCCCGGUAGCUAAAUGCGGAAGAGAUAAGUGCUGAAAGCAUCUAAGCACGAAACUUGCCCCGAGAUGAGUUCUCCCUGACCCUUUAAGGGUCCUGAAGGAACGUUGAAGACGACGACGUUGAUAGGCCGGGUGUGUAAGCGCAGCGAUGCGUUGAGCUAACCGGUACUAAUGAACCGUGAGGCUUAACCUU